rnacentral:rRNA from 1 species
CCUACGGGUGACAGCAGUGAGGAAUAUUGGUCAAUGGGCGCGAGCCUGAACCAGCCAAGUAGCGUGAAGGAUGACUGCCCUACGGGUUGUAAACUUCUUUUAUAAAGGAAUAAAGUGAGGCAUGUGUGCCUUUUUGUAUGUACUUUAUGAAUAAGGAUCGGCUAACCCCGUGCCAGCAGCCGCGGUAAUACGGAGGGUCCGAGCGUUAUCCGGAUUUAUUGGGUUUAAAGGGAGCGUAGAUGGGUUGUUAAGUCAGUUGUGAAAGUUUGCGGCUCAACCGUAAAAUUGCAAUUGAUACUGGCAGCCUUGAGUACAGGUGAGGUAGGCGGAAUUCGUGGUGUAGCGGUGAAAUGCGUAGAUAUCACGAAGAACUCCGAUUGCGAAGGCAGCUUACUAAACUGCCACUGACAUUGAUGCUCGAAAGUGUGGGUAUCAAACAGGAUUAGAUACCCCUGUAGUC